UGAGGCAGGAGAAUCGCUUGAACCCAGGAGGUGGAGGUUGCAGUGAGCUGAGAUUGCACCAUUGCACUUCAGCCUGGGUGACAGAGCAAGACUCUGUCUCAAAAAAAA
rnacentral:miRNA from 1 species